CUUCAUAUGGCCAUUGUCCACUUUACUCUUCCAUGAAGUAUUUUGCCUAUUUACAAUGUGGGGUUUGGUACAAGAAUCGGUAUUUUAUAAGUAUCGGUGGAGCAAUCUUAUUUUGAAUGGCGUUAAGUUAUAUUUUCUGUUUUCUUCUUAUCAUUUACUCUUCCGUUUUACUUUAGUUUCUUAUAGAGAAUCAAUUCAUGUUUGCAGGUUGGCCGUUCCAUCGUGAAAUAGAUUUGAUGCAGAACCUUGAGGCUGUAUAUGUAUUUUGGUUCGUAGAGGUUGUAAUUUGGAUAUAGUGGCAUCAUCAUAUUUUCCUUUCAUCCAUUUCUGCAGAGAAGCCGAAGAGUCUGAUAUGCUUUCAUCUUGUCAUCUGCUUCGUCUUCUCCAACUGUUGUAAGUAACCAAUUGUUUUCAUACUGCGUUUACAGAUUCUUGUAAUAUGCCUUUGCUGUAUCUUUCCGGAGUAAAUAUGAUGGGUAAUAGCUUUACACAUUGUGCAAAUUUUGUCAUUCUUUGGUUUUUUGGGAACUGGGCUGGCUUGAAUUUUGUUACUUCUGAUGCCAGAUUAUCAAUUUUGUUGAUGUGUUUCAUCUGCCAUGUACGGCUUGACCACCCUACUGGAUUAUUGGCAAUUGAUAUAAUUCUUAAACUCCACUCUAUAAUUUUUCUAUUUGGACAAAAGUUUGAUUGAGGAUGUGACCAUAGGGGAUGCGGAUGUGGAACGGCCAUAUGGGACAAUUAAAUCUUUCAAGCAAUAGUCAUUGGCAUCUUUAUGUUCCAAGCCAUCAAUUGACACAGUAGUUAGGGCAUCUCCAACCACAACACCAGCACCAUUUUGCACCAUUUUUUGGUGCAAAAUUGCUCCAACCCAAC
rnacentral:lncRNA from 1 species